GUGUCAGCAGCCGCGGUAAUACGUAGGGUGCGAGCGUUAAUCGGAAUUACUGGGCGUAAAGCGUGCGCAGGCGGGCUUUUAAGCCAGACGUGAAAUCCCCGGGCUUAACCUGGGAAUGGCGUUUGGGACUGGGAGUCUGGAGUGCGGCAGAGGAUACUGGAAUUCCUGGUGUAGCAGUGAAAUGCGUAGAUAUCAGGAGGAACACCGGUGGUGUAGACGGCUCACUGGACCGUAACUGACGCUGAGACACGAAAGCGUGGGUAGCAAACAGGAUUAGAUACCCUGGUAGUCCACGCCCUAAACGAUGUCAACUAGUUGUUGGGGAUUCAUUUCCUUAGUAACGUAGCUAACGCGUGAAGUUGACCGCCUGGGGAGUACGGUCGCAAGAUUAAAACUCAAAGGAAUUGACGG
rnacentral:rRNA from 1 species